rnacentral:rRNA from 1 species
AGAAUCAACGCUGGCGGCGUGCCUAACACAUGCAAGUCGAACGCGAAAGUCCCGCAAGGGAUAAGUAGAGUGGCAAACGGGUGAGUAACACGUGGGUGACCUGCCUUCGAGUGGGGGAUAACGUCCCGAAAGGGACGCUAAUACCGCAUAACAUCCUGCCUUUUAAGAGGUGGAGAGCAAAGCUGGGGAUCGCAAGACCUAGCGCUUGAAGAGGGGCCCGCGUCCGAUUAGCUAGUUGGUGGGGUAACGGCUCACCAAGGCGACGAUCGGUA